GAAAAUGGGGGAGAAAAUAGUUGGCCGCAACUCUCGGAAAAAAAAAUAGCCCACAAAGGGUCCAGCAGGAAAUAGAUAUAAAGAAUACAUACGAAAUACAUUCAAAAAUAGAUAAGAGAUCAGCUCUAUUUUAGCUUCAUUCCCUUGCUCAUUCAUAGGAAUUUCUUUAAGUUUCACAUCAUGGUUGUGGAAAGCUCUUCACCUCGUCCAUCCCAGUCGCUGCCUUGGAAACGGUAUAUAAUUUCACUUUUCUUUAAGUCUUUAUUUGCUUAGCUGAUUGUUUGAUGGCCAUAGUUGUAUGAAGAUUAAAAUUCUUUGUCUUGGCUGAAAUUUUGGUCUUGGCUUACUUAGUUUUGAAUAUGAUUUGUACGGGUGUGUGAAUCUUAAAGUUGAUUUCAAGUUUGUGAUUCGAUAGUGUGCUCGUUUUUCUUUAGCUUCCAUAAUGUAUCUCGUUUGGUUUUGAACUUUUAUGCUAGUCUUGGUUUACCUCUGUUUGUUGUGAAUUUGCAUGAGUAAGUCACUGUUCAACAUGUUUAUUACUAAGUUUAGGAAUGUAUAAAUCGAUAGCUGAUCAAUUUUAUUCUUUUUUCUUUUCAAAUAUAUGAUGCUUAACUUUACUAAAAGCAUAAAUUUGUUGGGUUAAUUUCAAGUGUGUCGUUUUUCUGUUUAUUACAAUCAAAAUAAAUUGUUUGGAGUUUGUUGUUAAGUUAUCCAUAUUAGCGUUAACUAGGUUCAUUUCAUGAGUCGUUUCGAAAUCUGAAAGCUAUGUUGGUUGUUUUAUUUUCUCUUCUUUUGCUUGUUAAGUUAUAGAAUUGUGGUUGUCCUAGUUUUGAUUGAAAAAUAGGAAAAUACGGCUUGCUUAUAAUGCUAAUCACAAGUUUGGCCAUCUGUUUCCGUGAUUUUUUUAGCUUACUUCUUGUCGCCUUCUAUCUUUAAGUUGCAUUCACGUUAAAAAUAUUUGGUCGCAUCAUCGUGUUUAGUUUGUGGUUUGCUUAAAAUAUCAAAAGAGGAUGGCUUGUUGUAUGUGAUUGUGGGGAAGUUUUGUAUAUUUUUUGCAUUUUGAGUUAGAGGUUGAUUUCCUAUUGUUACUGUAAUUUAAUGGGUCCAAAUUGUUGUCUUUUAAAAUCAUAGGAGAUUAUUGUUUUGAUGGUAGUGGCUUGUUUGUGAAUGCAACAAUGGCUCUCCUUUCAUGUCUUUAAAUCUGCAUAUAUGAAAAGGUCUUUUAAGUGUAAUAUGCCUCUUUGACCCCUAUCAUAUUCAAUUUAAGUUAAAUGUGCUUUCUUGCUGCCAAAUGCAUGCUUCUUUUCUUUUAGAUUUGUCUCCUUGAACCCUAAUGAGUAGAUAUCGAUAGUAGUCCUUUUGAUUUGAAAUAACUACGUCGCUUUUAUCCCAUUUAAAAUCAUGUCUCAAGUAUUUCUUUAUUUCAAAUGCUAAUUAUGUUUUUCUUAUGUUGUAUGAACCCCUUUCGAGUCCAUGGUGGACUUCCUUCCUUUGCAUUCUCGAGAUGAGCCAUAAAGGCUCAAACCCUUUCCUUUUCAAGUCAGCCAGCCAUGAAAAUCCGAAGAACAGGUCCUUGACGUGGCGUACAGGUGUUUGGAGCUAACACAGGAUUGUAUACACUAGUAUACACCUAGUGUAUACGAAGAUGGGAAAAUGGGCCUAAAGGCCCCAAAUUCGGUUUUGUAUUUUGUUACUUCGGGCCUAAGCCCCCUUGUCAUUUUUAUUGUUACUAUGUGUUAGUUAUUAGGACAGGUACCAAAGUGCAAGAAGUGGGCCUAAAGCCCCGCGAAAAAUUAGUUUAUCUUAGGAUAGGUGCAAACGGGCCAAAGGCCCAAAAUGGAAAUUAGGCUCAAGUAUUGGCCCAGGCAGACAGAAAAUCAGACUUGGGCUCAUAUCUCUCUCCCUUUAUUACUUGUGUUUUUAAACUUGUUUACUUAUUAUUUGCAUACUUGUCUGUUUAAUUAGUUUUAAGGUUGUCAUAGUUCAAUUUCCCUAAGAAUAGCCAUUCCGAGUUAUUUUUUUUCUAAAAUCAAGUAAGCAUUCACUUUCUACUUGACUUCAAAAUAUAUUUGCAAAAGAUAUUUUACUUAAGUAGUAUUUUAAUAUUUCCCUUUCCCC
rnacentral:lncRNA from 1 species